rnacentral:rRNA from 1 species
GAUGAACGCUGGCGGCGUGCCUAAUACAUGCAAGUCGAGCGAAUGGAUUAAGAGCUUGCUCUUAUGAAGUUAGCGGCGGACGGGUGAGUAACGCGUGGGUAACCUGCCCAUAAGACUGGGAUAACUCCGGGAAACCGGGGCUAAUACCGGAUAACAUUUUGAACCGCAUGGUUCGAAAUUGAAAGGCGGCUUCGGCUGUCACUUAUGGAUGGACCCGCGUCGCAUUAGCUAGUUGGGGAGGUAACGGCUCACCAAGGCAACGAGGCGUAGCCGACCUGAGAGGGUGAUCGGCCACACUGGGACUGAGACACGGCCCAGACUCCUACGGGAGGCAGCAGUAGGGAAUCUUCCGCAAUGGACGAAAGUCUGACGGAGCAACGCCGCGUGAGUGAUGAAGGCUUUCGGGUCGUAAAACUCUGUUGUUAGGGAAGAACAAGUGCUAGUUGAAUAAGCUGGCACCUUGACGGUACCUAACCAGAAAGCCACGGCUAACUACGUGCCAGCAGCCGCCGUAA